GGGCCGUUAGCUCAGGUGGUAGAGCAGCUGACUCUUAAUCAGCGGGUCGAAGGUUCGAGUCCUUCACGGCCCACCA
rnacentral:tRNA from 1 species